UUUUUCUUCAAAGUUAGAUCAGGGGUUAAAACAUGUACAUUUUAGCCCAGGUUUAUCAUUCUGUCCUUUCAAGUUGCACUGCUCUUUGAGGAAAAUACUGAUCUUGCUGUAAGAUUCACACGUAAGAACUUUGGAGGACAGAAACAGAGAGAGGUGUGUUUCACUCUGGGCUAAGAACUGGAGCCUCAACCAGUGGAACAGAUUAGAAGAUGCAGAAACAACUCCAGAC
rnacentral:lncRNA from 1 species